rnacentral:rRNA from 1 species
UACGUAGGGUGCAAGCGUUGUCCGGGAUUAUUGGGCGUAAAGAGCUCGUAGGCGGUCUGUCGCGUCUGCUGUGAAAACUCAGGGCUUAACCCUGAGCUUGCAGUGGGUACGGGCAGACUAGAGUGCGGUAGGGGAGACUGGAAUUCCUGGUGUAGCGGUGAAAUGCGCAGAUAUCAGGAGGAACACCGGUGGCGAAGGCGGGUCUCUGGGCAGUAACUGACGCUGAGGAGCGAAAGCAUGGGGAGCGAACAGG